AUCCCACAAAUCUCGAAAACCGCUAAACGAGCAAAGUAAACAGGUGAAAUGGAAAGUACAAAAAUAACAUUUUUGGCUAAUACAAUAUUGGUUACAGCAGUGAUGAUCAGUAAUGUAAUCCUAUGUCUUCAAAGCAAGUGCGAAGGGGUGAUUGGUUCAUCUAACUGAUAUGUUGAGACAUUAGUUAUAGGUCUGUCAAUGUUCACGGGAUUACAUUUAAGACACAUGCUCAGUUUAUGUUCUAUAGAAACACAUUUCAUCAUUAGAAUGGAACAUCAAACAGAAUGCUUUAACAUGGUAUUGUUAGAUGAGUGAAAUACUACUGCAAAAAUGAGUGAGUGUAUAGUAAGAUAAA